GUGCUCACUUCAGCAGCACAUGUACUAAAAUUGGAGCAAUACAGAGAAGAUUAGCAGAGCCCCUGCACAAGGAUGAAAUGCAAAUUCAUGAAGUGUUCCAUAUCUUU
ensembl:snRNA U6 U6 spliceosomal RNA